CGACGAGGAUGGGAUUCGAACCCACGCGGCAGAGCCCAAUGGAUUAGCAGUCCAUCGUCCCAACUGCUCGGCCACCUCUGGCC